rnacentral:rRNA from 1 species
CCAAGGAGUCUAACAUGUGUGCGAGUCGUAGGGAAGUUCUUGGACUAAACCCGAAGGCGCAAUGAAAGUGAAGGUAAGAUCGGCUCAUCGCCGAUCAAGGCGGGAUCCGUUUGGGCNUACGGUUCGGCCGAGCCCUGCGGCGCACCGCCGGCCCGUCUUGACCGCAGCGCCGGUGAGGCGGAGCAAGAGCAUACACGUUGGGACCCGAAAGAUGGUGAACUAUGCCUGGGCAGGANGAAGCCAGAGGAAACUCUGGUGGAGGUNCGUAGCGAUUCUGACGUGCAAAUCGAUCGUCGGACCUGGGUAUAGGGGCGAAAGACUAAUCGAACCGUCUA